GACGAACGCUGGCGGCGUGCUUAACACAUGCAAGUCGAACGGAAAGGCCUCUUUCGGGGGGUACUCGAGUGGCGAACGGGUGAGUAACACGUGAGUAACCUGCCCUUGACUUUGGGAUAACUUCAGGAAACUGGGGCUAAUACCGGAUAGGAGCUCCUGCUGCAUGGUGGGGGUUGGAAAGUUUCGGCGGCUGGGGAUGGACUCGCGGCUUAUCAGCUUGUUGGUGGGGUAGUGGCUUACCAAGGCUUUGACGGGUAGCCGGCCUGAGAGGGUGACCGGCCACAUUGGGACUGAGAUACGGCCCAGACUCCUACGGGAGGCAGCAGUGGGGAAUAUUGCACAAUGGGUGGAAGCCUGAUGCAGCAACGCCGUGUGCGGGAUGACGGCCUUCGGGUCGUAAACCGCUUUCGCUCAUGACGAAGCUUUGUGUGACGGUAGUGGGUAAAGAAGCACCGGCUAACUACGUG
rnacentral:rRNA from 1 species